rnacentral:tRNA from 2 species
GCUUCUGUAGCUUAAACAAUAAAGCAUUG